AUGGUCUUGGUAUUGAUCCGGCAACGAACGAUCUCAGCUUGCUGCCUGAGCGGGACCGGGUAUCUGCUGCUCAACUGGUUUGCAGGGUUGGGCUGCCUCUACUCCUGCUACUAGCGCUCCAAGCUGCGGGAACAGUAUGGCCUCCAGGAGAAGCCCUGCCCCGACUGCUGCGUCCACAUGUUCUGCGAGGCCUGCGCCCUCUGCCAGGAGUACCGCGAGCUCAAGAGCCGCGGCUUCGACAUGAGCGCCGGUGAAGCAAUCCAUCCUGCUCUCUCUUUACGUAUUUCACUUAGCCGGACCAGACUUUGA
rnacentral:rRNA from 1 species